GCCGGGGUGGCAGAGAGGUCCAAUGCGGCGGCCUGGAGAGCCGCUGCCCCCUUGGGGGCGCGUGGGUUCGAAUCCCACCCCCGGCGCCA
rnacentral:tRNA from 1 species